GUGAUCGCUGUUGGGGCACGGGAAGCGAAUUCAGUGCAGUCCGUCUUAUAUUCCCGCAGUCCCCGUUGUCGCCGCCACAAUGGCUUCACUGAACGUACUGGUGGCAUUGUCGCUGAUCCUGGAGGCGGGCGUGUAUGCCGUCCCACUGGGCGAACCAUCCCCUUCAGUUGGUCUCGCUGGUAACCCGAUUUGGAGUUACGAAGGAAUUAACGGUGAGUGCUC